rnacentral:rRNA from 1 species
GAUGAACGCUGGCGGCGUGCCUAAUACAUGCAAGUCGAGCGAACAGACGAGGAGCUUGCUCCUCUGACGUUAGCGGCGGACGGGUGAGUAACACGUGGAUAACCUACCUAUAAGACUGGGAUAACUUCGGGAAACCGGAGCUAAUACCGGAUAAUAUAUUGAACCGCAUGGUUCAGUAGUGAAAGACGGUUUUGCUGUCACUUAUAGAUGGAUCCGCGCCGCAUUAGCUAGUUGGUAAGGUAACGGCUUACCAAGGCAACGAUGCGUAGCCGACCUGAGAGGGGGAUAGGCCACACCGGAACUGAGACACGGGCCAGACUCCUACGGGAGGCAGCAGUAGGGAAUCUUCCGCAAUGGGCGAAAGCUUGACGGAGCAACGCCGCGUGAGUGAUGAAGGUCUUCGGAUCGUAAAACUCUGUUAUUAGGGAAGAACAAAUGUGUAAGUAACUAUGCACGUCUUGACGGUACCUAAUCAGAAAGCCACGGCUAACUACGUG